rnacentral:lncRNA from 1 species
ACGAAAGAUACCAAAGGGACAGUCAAACUCAUAAAUCUAAAACAAACUGACAACGCCAUGGCUAAAAAUGAAAAAGACAAACAGAAAAACAAUAGUGCACAUGACACAACAUAGAAAACUAAAGAAUAAACAACAUGAACCCCACCAAAAACUAGGGGUGAUCUCAGGUGCUCCGGAAGGGUAAGCAGAUCCUGCUCCACAUGUGGCACCCGUCGUGUUGCUUAUGUGAUUACAAAUCCGGUAAAUAGUCUAAUUCGGUAGGUCACAUUCAUGAAAGGGAAGGAGAUUGUAGUUACGACGUAAGGAACAUAUCCGAUAUCAUUUGUGAAACGGUUAUUCCAUAACGGUCAACCAACUCGUGAUGGCGUCCGUAAAAUUUAC